rnacentral:tRNA from 1 species
GUCUCCUUAGCUCAGUGGAUGGAGCAUCUGGAAUCUAGCCAGGAGGUCGCAGGUUCGAGUCCUGCAGGGGGCA